GAUUCCGUAGCUCAGCUGGGAGAACGGCGCCUUGACAGGGGGAGGCCGCUGGUUCGAGCUCAGUCGGAAUCA
rnacentral:tRNA from 1 species